rnacentral:lncRNA from 1 species
UGGUUUAUCUAUUAUGUAACUUUACCUAAUCCAUUCAAUACGUCCACUUGACCAUUACUAUACUAUAAACUCAUCAUGGUUCACUGUGCUAGAAGAACCAUUUGUGGUCCACUAACUAUCUCCAACCUAUCUAGUGCAACAUAACACCUUCACCUGCAACUCAAACCAUGCCACGCUAUUUAACUAUCUAAGGAGUAAUACCAGAAAAGACAAGCAAAUAAAAGUACCUGUUUAGUAUAAAUAUAACAAAAUAUAAACUUACCCAUACUUAUCUUCAAGGCUGCAUAAAAUAAAGAAAAGAAAAAAGGAAACGAAAAGAAGAAAAAGCAUCGUACCUAGUCAUUGAUACCAUGUUGGCGCACAGAAAAGCAAACUAUGUCUGAGGAGACCACAAAUUUAUUGUCCC